AAUAAUCGGGCAUCAAGUAUAGUACCGAAGCUCAGGAUAUGUAGCAAUACAUGUGGUAGGGGAGCAUUCUAACAUCGGCGAAGCCAAGGGGUCACCUGAGGUGGAGAGGUUAGAAAAGCAAAUGUAGGCAUAAGUAACGAUAAGGCAGGUGAGAACCCUGCCCACCGAAAGACUAAGGUUUCCGCGGCAAUGUCAAUCAGCCGCGGGUAAGUCGGGUCCUAAGGCGCACCCGAAAGGGCAAGUCGAUGGACAACUGGUUAAUAUUCCAGUACCGGCUGCAAGAGCGAUGUGGAGAAGGAGUAGUGAAAGUUCCGCGCACAGACGAAAGGGCGUUUAAGGACGUAGGUAUAUCUUAUACAGGCAAGUCCGUAUUUGAUGCUGAAAUCUGAAAGUACAGGAUGGCUUUGGCCAGAAUGAGUGAAUGUAAACAGACUUCCAAGAAAAUCCGCUAAGCAUAUUUUGCAGCUGCCCGUACCGCAAACCGACACAGGUAGUCGAGAAGAAUAUUCUAAGGUGCUCGAGAGAUUCAUGGCUAAGGAACUCGGCAAAAUAAACCUGUAACCUCGGGAGAAGGGUUGCCUCCUCUAGCAAUAGAGAGGUCGCAGAGAAAUGGCCCAGGCGACUGUUUAACAAAAACACAUGGCUAUGCGAAAUCGCAAGAUGAAGUAUAUGGCCUGACACCUGCCCGGUGCUGGAAGGUUAAGGGGGGAAGUUAGCAGCAAUGCGACGCUUUGAACUGAAGCCCCAGUAAACGGCGGCCGUAACUAUAACGGUCCUAAGGUAGCGAAAUUCCUUGUCGGGUAAGUUCCGACCUGCACGAAUGGUGUAACGAUCUGGGCGCUGUCUCAGCCAUGAGCUCGGUGAAAUUGUAGUAACGGUGAAGAUGCCGUUUACCCGUCACGGGACGGAAAGACCCCAUGAACCUUUACUAUAGCUUCACAUUGAUAUUGGGAAGAUGAUGUGUAGGAUAGGCGGGAGGCAAUGAUCUGGUGGCGCUAGCUAUCAGGGAGUCAACGGUGAAAUACCGCCCUUUAUUUUUCCGAUAUCUAACCACCGCAAGGUGGGACAUUGUGUGGUGGGUAGUUUGACUGGGGUGGUCGCCUCCGAGAGUGUAUCGGAGGCUUUCAAAGGUAUGCUCAGUACGCUUGGUAACCGUACGUGGAGUGCAUUAGCAUAAGCAUGCUUGACUGUGAGACAGACAAGUCGAUCAGGCGCGAAAGCGGGAUAAAGUGAUCCGGUGGUUCUGCAUGGAAGGGCCAUCGCUCAAAGGAUAAAAGGUACUCUGGGAUAACAGGCUGAUCUCCCCCAAGAGCUCAUAUCGACGGGGAGGUUUGGCACCUCGAUGUCGGCUCGUCACAUCCUGGGGCUGGAGAAGGUCCCAAGGGUUGGGCUGUUCGCCCAUUAAAGUGGCACGCGAGCUGGGUUCAGAACGUCGUGAGACAGUUCGGUCCCUAUCUGUGAUGGGCGCAGGAAGUUUGAGAGGCUCUGACCUUAGUACGAGAGGACCGGGUUGGAGCAACCGCUGGUGUACCGGUUGUCAUGUCAGUGGCACUGCCGGGUAGCUAUGUUGCGACGGAAUAAGCGCUGAAAGCAUCUAAGCGCGAAAUCCACCUCGAGAUGAGACUUCCUUAUAAGGGCCGUCGUAGACUACGACGUUGAUAGGCUGCAGGUGUAAAGUCAGAAAUGGCAAAGCCGAGCAGUACUAAUUACCC
rnacentral:rRNA from 1 species